CGCAGCCGCGGUAAUUCCAGCUCCAAUAGCGUAUAUUAAAGUUGCUGCAGUUAAAAAGCUCGUAGUUGAAUUUCGGGACUAAUAUGUCGGUCGUGCCUCGGUACGUACUGGCUUAUUGGUUUCUCCUUUCUGAAGAACCAUGAUGUCAUUUAUUUGGUGUCGUGGGGAAUCAGGACUGUUACUUUGAAAAAUUAGAGUGUUUAAAGCAGGCUCACGCUUGAAUACAUUAGCAUGGAAUAAUGAAAUAGGACGUUUGAUUCUAUUUUGUUGGUUUCUAGGAUCGACGUAAUGAUUAAUAGGGAUAGUUGGGGGCAUUAGUAUUCAAUUGUCAGAGGUGAAAUUCUUGGAUUUAUUGAAGACUAACUACUGCGAAAGCAUUUGCCAAGGAUGUUUUCAUUAAUCAAGAACGAAAGUUAGGGGAUCGAAGACGAUCAGAUACCGUCGUAGUCUUAACCAUAAACUAUGCCGACUAGGGAUCGGAUGAUGUUAAUUUUUAAUGACUCAUUCGGCGCCUUAAC
rnacentral:misc_RNA from 1 species